AGUUGGGAUUCAGAUACUGUCAGUUGUAACUGAUGGGCUAAGCUUGGGACUUUACUGAUGAGUCAAGUUCCUGAGAAAAAAAAAGCAACCAAAGUACCAGGAGACCAUGCAGCAUUUGCCAGUGAGGAGAACGGGGCAGCAGAAAGAGAAGCUUCCUGCCACUUCACACAAUUUUGUGAUUUUUGUGUGUAUGAGAUUUGAAUCAUAUUAAUUCUGUCCAGCUGAUUGACAGAGCCACUGACUGCAACUUAAUAGGUACGGUGUGAACUCAUCUAGGAUCACUUCAUCCCAUGAGGCCCUACUUUGUCUUCUGACAGCCACCAGGAUCUGCGUUCAUCCCAUGCCACGGGAAGAUCCUGCUCCUGGCCCUCAUGUGCUCCUUGUACCCGUGGUGUCCAGAAUCAAGAUCCUGCCCAGACUGAGAUGGCUUUGGGGGAGCUGGCUGAGUUUGAGUCUUGUGUGUGUUGCUUACAGGCUACUCUAACUCAGCCAAGUUUCCUAUCGUGUGAGAACCUCAGCUUCCCCACCUCUGAGAUGGAAGAUUGCUGUCCCACCAUGGCUUGCCCUUGGCUGCUUUCAUGCACAAUGGUGUAUCUAGUUUUUAGAGGCCUAGCUUAUUAACCAACAGCUUUCCCGUGGCCUUCGGCAUUGGUGUCUCAGAGCCAUGUAAUGCUGGCUAAGUUUACCCUUGCCCGGGUUUUACUAUGACCCCCAGGAAGGGCUCUGGCCUGAUGUUUUCUGAUAUCACUCUCCUGGGCAUCAGUCCAUCUCUAGGACAGUCCCCUUUGUCCUUACAUACACAGCAGCCUAGUCCUGAGGCAGCUCUUCCUUGAAGGCCACACCUGCUACCGUAGCCUUCUCUUACAGGCCAGAGAAGGGGAAUAAGUUUGAUAUUGGAAUUUGGAUCAUCAGGAAUCGGGCAAUAAUCACGUGCCUAGGAGGAAAAUCUGUGUCAAGUACUCAGACUUCUCUGCCUCUCCCCUACCCCCACCCAUUUUAACUCAGAACCUGUAGCUGUGGUGGACUUCAGAGCUCUCGACUGACUUCAUCUGACUGAAGCCAGGACAAUUUACAGACACAGGCAUAUAAAACGUGCCGGUGUCCCUCGUGGUGUUUACUCAAGCAACCGACAGGCCCUGUAACCAAGUGACUUCAAAGGUGCUGGGUCGAUUGGUUUACAGUAAGUCUGAGAACUGACAGAAGGCUCAGGUUUGUGUGUAUUCACACAUUUUAAUGGGAGAAAAAUUCAUACAGAGUGAAUCGCUUAGUUGCUAUGGGGAGAUAGAAGGCUUUUUUGAAAAUGCUCCUCUUUAAAGUCAAAGAUAAAUCACUCUCAAGGUGGAGUGGAAGCAGAAGGGGGAAGGAGCCCAGACCGUGGAGGCUGGGUUUCCCCAGACAUUAUUGCUGCUUGUGUGCCUACAGCCCAGAACAGCUGGUUAGUGUGGGAAACCGGAGAAAGGCCCCUUUCGCUUUAAUCCAGCCCGCUGCUUUCCUGGGCCCGUUUGACUGUAAUUCUGGGAGGCCAAGUGACAAAGGCUGUUGACUGAUACGUGCAAUUACCUCCUUUAAUACUGCUCUCAACUGUCGGCCCUGACUGACAAAAGUGGAUGAGGUUUAGUUAAGGUCUGAGAAAACGCUCCAUUAAUAAAAGCCAUUCCCAUCCCGAUAUA
rnacentral:lncRNA from 1 species